AAAUUUUGUGUUUCAGGCAGUGACAUUUGUCACCACACUGAUCCCCAGGGUUGAUUGGGCUGAUCUGGCUGACCAGGCGGGAGUCCCCUUCCUCCCUCACCGCUCCACACGUCACUUUCCAAGGUGCAUAAGGACCACCCCUGCAAAGAGGCCCAUUUCCCGCUCAUGGUAGAACUUCCAAACAAGCUCUCAAUGUUUUCUCUUCUACAGCUAUAACUUUUUGUGUAGAUAUCACUUAAAUUACAUUGUGAAAUUUAAUUUAAUUAUCUUAAUUUUUUGAUUAUU
rnacentral:snRNA from 1 species